rnacentral:ncRNA from 1 species
ACAGGGGAGCCUAGAGCUGAGAUUUACGCGGAGCGUAUAAACCCUUUUACCUGAUCCGGGUAAUGCCGGCGUAGGGAGUUUGGC